rnacentral:lncRNA from 1 species
AUGAAGGCCAGCAGCAUAUCACAACCUCUUCAGGACCAGGAAUCCAGACAUCUAGGAAAACAACUUAACAAGAGAAAAGGAAGAACUCCAGGAAUCAAGAAAGAGCAGACAGGAAAACUAGAAUUCACAGAGAAACAGAAGAAAUUAAAGAUAAUUCAGAGUAAGGAACAAAGCAGUCUGGAACACUUACUCCAGCUCCCAAGGAAGAGGUCCUGUCUCCGCAAACACAAGAAAGAGCUUGAAAGGAUACCAAGGGAUACCUCUGCUCUCCUUGGUGGGAUCAAGAAUCAGGUGGGUCUGAAUUCCAAUGCUGGUUCUGCUGCUAACUGAUCAUGUGACAUCAG